rnacentral:rRNA from 1 species
GAUGAACGCUAGCUACAGGCUUAACACAUGCAAGUCGAGGGGAAACGGCAUCGAAAGCUUGCUUUUGAUGGGCGUCGACCGGCGCACGGGUGAGUAACGCGUAUCCAACCUGCCCAUCACUUGGGAAUAACCUUGCGAAAGUAAGACUAAUGCCCAAUGACAUCCCACGAAGGCAUCCGAAUGGGAUUAAAGAUUUAUCGGUGAUGGAUGGGGAUGCGUCUGAUUAGCUUGUUGGCGGGGUGACGGCCCACCAAGGCAACGAUCAGUAGGGGUUCUGAGAGGAAGGUACACCGCAUUGGAGCUGCGGCCCAGUCCACACUGGUACGGGAGGCAGCAGUGUGGAAGAUUGGUCGAUGGGCGAGAGCCUGAACCAGCCGCGUGGGGUGCGGGAUGACGGCGCUAUGGGUUGUAAACUGCUUUUAUAAGAGAAUAGAGUGGGUAACGUGUGACUUUUUGCAGGUACCUAAUGAAUAAGGACCGGCUAAUUCCGUG